rnacentral:lncRNA from 1 species
UUUAAUAUAUAAAAAUUUGACUUCACAAUUGAAUCUUCACACAUUCGGAAUUAUUACAACCAAAAUUGGGCAUUAAUUAAACCAAUUACCUCCACGAAUUGAUUACGACGGCUACAACUAUCUACAGGGCAGACAGAGAAAGAGAAACCCAACGAGAUGCGCGAGAGAGAUCCACGACGAGAGAAAGUCGAAGGAGAGAGCAGCGAGAUGAGUGAGAGGCCGGAUGAGAGAGACCCGCGGUGAGAGAGAGAGCCACAGCCGAAGACAGACCCAAGGCGAGAGAGAGAGACCCACGGUGAGAGAGAGAGCCACUGCCGAAGACAGACCCAAGGCGAGAGAGAGAGACCCACGGUGAGAGAGAGAGCCACUGCCGAAGACAGACCCAAGGCGAGAGAGAGAGACCCACGGUGAGAGAGAGAGCCACUGCCGAAGACAGACCCAAGGCGAGAGAGAGAGACCCACGGUGAGAGAGAGAGCCACUGCCGAAGACAGACCCAAGGCGAGAGAGAGAGACCCACGGUGAGAGAGAGAGCCACUGCCGAAGACAGACCCAAGGCGAGAGAGAGAGACCCACGGUGAGAGAGAGAGCCACUGCCGAAGACAGACCCAAGGCGAGAGAGAGAGACCCACGGUGAGAGAGAGAGCCACUGCCGAAGACAGACCCAAGGCGAGAGAGAGAGACCCACGGUGAGAGAGAGAGCCACUGCCGAAGACAGACCCAAGGCGAGAGAGAGAGCCACAACCGAAGAGAGACCCACGCUCGAGAGAGAAAGAGAGAAAGAGAGAAAACUGAAAGACAGAGCAAUCCCACGAUGAAGAGCAGAGCUUGAAGAUGGCAAAGAACUGGCUGCAAUUGAACUCGUUGCUUGGUGUGAAAUGCAUGAGUGAGAGUGAUGCAUGCGUGAGAUGAGAUGCGCGUGCAGUGUGUUUGCUUGUUCAAACAGUGCCCUUUUAUAUUACAAAUAAAACGCACCGUUCGGGACUUACUGUGGUGCUUAUUGUGGGCUGAAUAUCGGUGUUGUAAGUUCUUAACAUCUGAGACAAAACAAUGGUUCCAGCUUCCAACUGAAAUUGGAUAGCAUGUGUUUUGCACGCGCUUCAAUGCGAAUAAAUAGAAAAAGCAUCUAGAACAGUCAGAGAUUCACAUACUAGAAGUGUCGAACGAAGACGACUUCAAUCUGCUCGCCUAAAGUGACUUUCCUGACAAGUUCGUACAGCAAUAACGCGGUCACGGCAACAACGUCACGACCCCGCAACCGACCCUCCCCUUCACCAAAAUUACACGAAAAGACCAACCUUGAUCGCCAAUUCAGUAUGGGCCAUGUCCGCCAUUUUAGUCAAAGUCACCUGAAGGUCAUACUUAGCAACUAAAAAAUUAACUAUAAAUAUACCAC